GGUUUCGCUUCAUUUUUUCAAAACUCAAAUUCAAUAUGGUGAACAGUGUCGUCUUCUUCCUCUUUGUUUCAAUGGCGUCACCGUGAAUCUCUAUCUUGAAUAGCUCGUUUUUUCAUUCCUUCCGUUUCGUUCUAAAGGUGGUGCCGGCGUGAAUCUCUAUUCUCUAGCAUUCUUCUUUGCAUCUGGGUUUUCAACUGAUUUUGAAAUUGAAUUCUGGAACUUGAAGCUACUGCAAAUUCAGUGAAAACGAUAAGGCUCAUAUCAUAUUAGCUGCUGCAACGACAAUUCUUCGUCUUUCUAAGAAGUGGGAUUUACAUAUCACCCCAGAAGUUUUUCGCUUCACUAUUUUGAUUGCAAAGGUUAUUUGGAGAUCAAUUAUCAUAAGCGAGAGAAUCUUUGAUGAUGUCAUCUUUAGAUCCUCAAUCACCCGAGAAAUGGAUGACAAUACUAGAUAUAAGUUAUUUGAUAGAAAAUUAGUAUAAUGUCGUUAUUGGAAGUUUAGAUAAUCCAUGCAUGACUGUCUUUCCUAUACGACGAGUUCAAGCUCUCCAACCGUCUCUAUUUAUUGCAUUUGUUUCGUAAACUAAAAUCACUAGGUUCAAGUACUUAAAUAUUUAUGUUUGUUAAAUUUAUUAUUUACUUUGAUGUAAAUAUUAAUGUUAGCUUUUAUUUUUUUAAUCAAGUAAAAAUGAAAUAAGGAUUUUCAAUGUCAGAAGUCAUAUUGGAUUGGAAGAAAUUUUGUUUCCUGUAACAACAUAUUGGAUGUUAGAAUUUGCGAGACGACUGCAACUUUGGCAACAACUUAUACCUACAG